UACGGAGGGUGCAAGCGUUAUCCGGAUUUACUGGGUUUAAAGGGUGUGUAGGCGGGCCAUUAAGUCAGGGGUGAAAUCCCGGAGCUCAACUCCGGAACUGCCUUUGAUACUAUUGGUCUUGAAUAUUGUUGAGGUGGGCGGAACGGGUCAUGUAGCGGUGAAAUGCAUAGAUAUGACCCGGAACACCGAUUGCGAAGGCAGCCCGCUAAGCAAUGAUUGACGCUGAGGCACGAAAGCGUGGGGAUCAAACGGG
rnacentral:rRNA from 1 species